UACGUAGGGUGCGAGCGUUAAUCGGAAUUACUGGGCGUAAAGCGUGCGCAGGCGGUGAUGUAAGACAGGGGUGAAAUCCCGGGGCUCAACCUCGGAACUGCAUUUGUGACUGCAUCGCUGGAGUGCGGCAGAGGGGGAUGGAAUUCCGCGUGUAGCAGUGAAAUGCGUAGAUAUGCGGAGGAACACCGAUGGCGAAGGCAAUCCCCUGGGCCUGCACUGACGCUCAUGCACGAAAGCGUGGGGAGCAAACAGG
rnacentral:rRNA from 1 species